CUGACAGCAACCCGCCUCCUGCUUCCAUCACGUGGUCAGGGAAAGUAAACAGCACUACUGGGGAGCUACACAUCAUAGCAGCACAGCAGACGAUACAUGAAGGUAUCUACACCUGUACCGUGAUCACUGAAACAGUUGAUGAUCAUGAUCGUCUGUCGACAACUCAUCAACUUGGUUUUAUCAUUAAAGGUAAAAAGAACGAGACAUAAAGUGAUUUCAUCAGCGCAGCAUUUUGUGCACGUGAAGUUUACAUUGCCGGAUGGUUAAAGAAUUUGAGUGCAUGAAUAGACGAGAGGGUCAGUGAGUUGACCUUACGUCUAAGUUUGUUUUUUUUUUCAAGUGAACACCAGCAUUAUCUCUUCAGACUUUGAUGACAAAGUCAACUGUGUGAACGAUCACUUGUGUGACGUGCACGUGACAUUUCUUGUUACUCCAGGCCUUAUAACCAGAAACCUUUGGAGUUUUUAAGCCGUCCUUGCCUUAAGUGAAGCCUGGGUUGUGAGGACAGGAAUACAUCUGAGCUUACUGAGCUCACAUCCACACGUCUAGUUCGAAACUACUACUACUACUGCUACUACUACUAUUAUUAUUGUUGUUGUUGUUGUUGUUGUUGUUGUUGCACUAUAUUCAAGUACACUGAAGAGAUAGGAGUCAGUAAUAAACGAACAUAGUUCCCCAUUCUUAUCCACUAAUUGAUACACUGAGUAAAGUAACAUUAAAUGUAACAUGCAGUGUACAUUCACAACCUUAUACCUUGAUUUAAUAAGAGAUGUGUUAUGGGUAAAACUGCUGCAGUCAACGGUCUUAAAAUGUAAAUAAAGGUUCUUAUACAACCUCUUAUUAUUGAAACGACAGUGACAUCUACUCUUAUUAUUAUAAAUGCUUUAGCUUAGCUACUGCAACUGUUUUUGAACAGUUGACAUGAAAUAUAGAUGACUUACUAUGUUUUAAUGUCUAACAAAUCUGUGAGAAACAAACGAAAGUAUAUUUAGAAAAAAUAAAUUUAUCAUUACUGACUUACAGUUUUGACUUCAUCUUCUAUUUAACAAAUCUAACAUAAAUGCAGGGGAGGUAAUACACAAGUAAGCGGAACUCUUCCCUACGUAUUUGUGAUUAUAAUAACUAGCAGUUAUCUCCGCUAAUCCAUUAUUAAGAUGUACCAUACAUACACUCUGAAUGUGAAAGGUCUGCAGGGCUCUACACAAAAUAACACAAACAA